rfam:Camelus ferus unplaced genomic scaffold scaffold2075, whole genome shotgun sequence.
GAGGGUAUAGCUCAGUGGUAGAACUCAUGCUUAGCAUGCACAAGGUCCUGGGUUCAAUCCCCAGUACCUCCA